rnacentral:tRNA from 1 species
AGUCCCGUAGCUUAAUGGCUAAAGCGGUGCUCUCAUAAAGCUCUGAUGUGAGUUCAAUUCUCACCGGGACUACCA